AUAUUGCACAAUGGAGGGAACUCUGAUGCAGCAACGCCGCGUGAGUGAAGAAGGUUUUCGGAUCGUAAAACUCUGUCAUUGGGGAAGAAUAAAUGACGGUACCCAAUGAGGAAGCCCCGGCUAACUACGUGCCAGCAGCCGCGGUAAUACGUAGGGGGCGAGCGUUGUCCGGAAUUAUUGGGCGUAAAGCGCGCGCAGGCGGCUUCUUAAGUCUGAUGGGAAAUCUCGCGGCUCAACCGUGAGCGGUCAUUGGAAACUGGGGAGCUUGAGUACAGAAGAGGAGAGCGGAAUUCCACGUGUAGCGGUGAAAUGCGUAGAGAUGUGGAGGAACACCAGUGGCGAAGGCGGCUUUCUGGUCUGUAACUGACGCUGAGGCGCGAAAGCGUGGGGAGCAAACA
rnacentral:rRNA from 1 species